rnacentral:rRNA from 1 species
GAAACAGUUGCUAAAACUUGAUAGGAAAUAAAAAGGCAUCUUUUUAUUUUUAAAAGACCUUUUUCGGAAGGUAUGCUUAAAGAGGGGCUUGCGUCACAUUAGUUAGUUGGCAGGGUAAAGGCCUACCAAGACUAUGAUGUGUAGCUGGACUGAGAGGUUGAACAGCCACAUUGGGACUGAGACACGGCCCAAACUCUACGGGAGGCAGCAGUAGGGAAUUUUCGGCAAUGGAGGAAACUCUGACCGAGCAACGCCGCGUGAACGAUGAAGUAUUUCGGUAUGUAAAGUUCUUUUAUUGAAGAAGAAAAAAUAGUGGAAAAACUAUCUUGACGAUAUUCAAUGAAUAAGCCCCGGCAAACUAUGUGCCAGCAGCCGCGGUAAUACAUAGGGGGCGAGCGUUAUCCGGAAUUAUUGGGCGUAAAGGGUGCGUAGGCGGUUUAAUAAGUCUAUAGUUUAAUUUCAGUGCUUAACACUGUCCUGCUAUAGAAACUAUUAGACUAGAGUGAGAUAGAGGCAAGUGGAAUUCCAUGUGUAGCGGUAAAAUGCGUAAAUAUAUGGAGGAACCCCAGAGGCGUAGGCGGCUUGCUGGGUCUUUACUGACGCUGAGGCACGAAAGCGUGGGGAGCAAACAGGAUUAGAUACCCUGGUAGUCCACGCCGUAAACGAUGAGUACUAAGUGUCGGGAUUACUCGGUACUGAAGUUAACACAUUAAGUACUCCGCCUGAGUAGUACGUACGCAAGUAUGAAACUUAAAGGAAUUGACGGGACUCCGCACAAGCGGUGGAUCAUGUUGUUUAAUUCGAAGAUACACGAAAAACCUUACCAGGUCUUGACAUACUCUGCAAAGCUAUAGCAGUAUAGUGGAGGUUAUCAGAGAUACAGGUGGUGCAUGGUUGUCGUCAGCUCGUGUCGUGAGAUGUUAGGUUAAGUCCUAAAACGAGCGCAACCCUUGUCAUUAGUUGCCAGCAUGUCAUGAUGGGCACUUUAAUGAGACUGCCAAUGAAAAAUUGGAGGAAGGUGAGGAUCACGUCAAAUCAUCAUGCCCCUUAUGAUCUGGGCUACAAACGUGAUACAAUGGCUGUUACAAAGAGUAGCUGAAACGCAAGUUUAUAGCCAAUCUCAUAAAAGCAGUCUCAGUUCGGAUUGAAGUCUGCAACUCGACUUCAUGAAGUUGGAAUCGCUAGUAAUCGCGAAUCAGCAUGUCGCGGUGAAUACGUUCACGGGGUUUGUACACCCCGCCCGUC